AUGGUUGUUGCAAACGGCAAUGUCGACAUGGAGGAAGGAACCCUUGAAAUCGGGAUUGAGUACAGGACAGUUUCUGGAGUUGCUGGUCCUCUUGUGAUUCUUGACAAAGUGAAGGGUCCUAAAUACCAAGAAAUCGUCAACAUACGAUUGGGAGAUGGCACAACUAGGCGUGGUCAGGUGCUUGAAGUUGAUGGAGAGAAAGCUGUGGUUCAGGUUUUUGAGGGAACUUCUGGUAUUGACAACAAAUAUACAACUGUGCAAUUCACUGGUGAGGUUCUAAAAACUCCAGUAUCACUGGAUAUGCUUGGCCGCAUUUUCAAUGGUUCUGGGAAACCUAUAGAUAAUGGCCCACCAAUUUUACCAGAGGCGUACCUGGAUAUUUCCGGAAGUUCUAUCAAUCCCAGCGAACGGACAUACCCUGAAGAAAUGAUUCAGACUGGCAUAUCUACAAUUGAUGUGAUGAAUUCUAUAGCUCGUGGUCAGAAGAUACCUCUGUUCUCCGCUGCAGGUCUGCCACACAAUGAAAUUGCUGCUCAGAUUUGUCGUCAGGCUGGGCUGGUAAAGCGUAAAGAGAAGACUGACAAUAUCUUGGAGAAUGCCGAGGAAGACAAUUUUGCUAUUGUCUUUGCAGCUAUGGGAGUAAACAUGGAAACAGCACAAUUUUUCAAGCGUGAUUUUGAGGAGAAUGGUUCGAUGGAGAGAGUUACCUUAUUUCUUAAUCUGGCAAAUGAUCCAACCAUCGAGCGUAUUAUUACUCCAAGAAUUGCUCUCACAACAGCGGAGUACUUGGCAUAUGAGUGCGGGAAGCAUGUUCUUGUCAUCCUGACUGACAUGAGUUCAUAUGCAGAUGCACUUCGUGAAGUCUCUGCUGCUCGAGAGGAAGUGCCUGGAAGGCGUGGUUAUCCUGGUUAUAUGUAUACUGACUUGGCAACUAUCUAUGAGCGUGCUGGUCGUAUAGAAGGAAGAAAAGGAUCAAUUACGCAGAUACCUAUUUUAACCAUGCCUAAUGAUGAUAUUACCCAUCCAACUCCUGAUCUUACUGGUUACAUCACCGAGGGGCAGAUCUACAUUGACAGGCAGCUACAUAAUCGGCAGAUAUAUCCACCAAUCAAUGUCCUUCCCUCGCUUUCGCGGCUCAUGAAGAGCGCUAUUGGCGAAGGCAUGACUCGCCGGGAUCAUUCUGAUGUCUCAAACCAGCUAUAUGCCAAUUACGCCAUAGGCAAAGACGUGCAGGCGAUGAAGGCAGUGGUUGGAGAGGAAGCACUGUCAUCAGAGGACUUGCUCUACCUUGAGUUCCUCGACAAGUUUGAGCGGAAGUUUGUGGCUCAGGGAGCAUAUGACACACGAAACAUCUUCCAGUCGCUUGACCUUGCCUGGACCUUACUCCGCAUCUUCCCCCGUGAGCUGCUCCACCGUAUACCGGCGAAGACCCUUGAUCAGUUCUACAGUCGUGAUGCCUCCCACUAA
rnacentral:rRNA from 1 species